GGAAUAUUGGGCAAUGGAUGCAAGUCUGACCCAGCCAUGCCGCGUGCCGGAUGAAGGCCCUCAGGGUUGUAAACGGCUUUUAUUCGGGAAGAAGAGCGGGGAUGCGUCCCUGUGUGACGGUACCGAAUGAAUAAGCACCGGCUAACUCCGUGCCAGCAGCCGCGGUAAUACGGAGGGUGCGAGCGUUGUCCGGAUUUAUUGGGUUUAAAGGGUGCGUAGGUGGCUGAUUAAGUCAGUGGUGAAAUACAGCCGCUCAACGGUUGAGGUGCCAUUGAUACUGAUUAGCUUGAAAUAAUUGGAGGCUGCCGGAAUGGAUGGUGUAGCGGUGAAAUGCAUAGAUAUCAUCCAGAACACCGAUUGCGAAGGCAGGUGGCUACGAUUUAUUUGACACUGAGGCACGAAAGCAUGGGGAGCAAACAGGAUUAGAUACCCGAG
rnacentral:rRNA from 1 species